rnacentral:rRNA from 1 species
AACGCUAGCUACAGGCUUAACACAUGCAAGUCGAGGGGCAUCAGGGAUUAGCAAUAAUCUGCUGGCGACCGGCGCACGGGUGAGUAACACGUAUCCAACCUUCCGAUAACUCGGGGAUAGCCUUUCGAAAGAAAGAUUAAUACUCGAUAGUAUAAGUUUCCCUCCUGGUUAGCUUAUUAAAGAAUUUCGGUUAUCGAUGGGGAUGCGUUCCAUUAGUUUGUUGGUGAGGUAACGGCUCACCAAGACUACGAUGGGUAGGGGUUCUGAGAGGAAGGUCCCCCACAUUGGAACUGAGACACGGUCCAAACUCCUACGGGAGGCAGCAGUGAGGAAUAUUGGUCAAUGGACGCAAGUCUGAACCAGCCAAGUAGCGUGAAGGAUGACUGCCCUAUGGGUUGUAAACUUCUUUUAUAUAGGAAUAAAGUUAGCCACGUGUGGUUAUUUGUAGGUACUGUAUGAAUAAGGACCGGCUAAUUCCGUGCCAGCAGCCGCGGUAAUACGGAAGGUCCAGGCGUUAUCCGGAUUUAUUGGGUUUAAAGGGAGCGUAGGCCGUCUGUUAAGCGUGUUGUGAAAUGUAGAUGCUCAACAUCUGAAUUGCAGCGCGAACUGGCAGACUUGAGUGUGCGCAACGUAGGCGGAAUUCGUGGUGUAGCGGUGAAAUGCUUAGAUAUCACGAAGAACUCCGAUUG